rnacentral:rRNA from 1 species
UCAGUUGUGAAAGUUUGCGGCUCAACCGUAAAAUUGCAGUUGAUACUGGGUGUCUUGAGUACAGUAGAGGCAGGCGGAAUUCGUGGUGUAGCGGUGAAAUGCUUAGAUAUCACGAAGAACUCCGAUUGCGAAGGCAGCUUGCUGGACUGUAACUGACGCUGAUGCUCGAAAGUGUGGGUAUCAAACAGGAUUAGAUACCCUGGUAGUCCACACAGUAAACGAUGAAUACUCGCUGUUUGCGAUAUACAGUAAGCGGCCAAGCGAAAGCGUUAAGUAUUCCACCUGGGGAGUACGCCGGCAACGGUGAAACUCAAAGGAAUUGACGGGGGCCCGCACAAGCGGAGGAACAUGUGGUUUAAUUCGAUGAUACGCGAGGAACCUUACCCGGGCUUGAAUUGCAACUGAAUGAUGUGGAGACAUGUCAGCCGCAAGGCAGUUGUGAAGGUGCUGCAUGGUUGUCGUCAA